UACGGGGGAAGCAAGCGUUGUCCGGAUUUACUGGGCGUAAAGGGCGUGCAGGCGGUCUGUUAAGUGCAGGGUGAAAGCUCCCGGCUCAACUGGGAGAGGUCCUUGCAUACUGGCGGACUUGAGGGGGGUAGAGGAAAGUGGAAUUCCCGGUGUAGUGGUGAUAUGCGUAGAUAUCGGGAGGAACACCUGUGGCGAAGGCGGCUUUCUGGGCCCUACCUGACGCUGAGACGCGAAAGCGUGGGGAGCGAACCGG
rnacentral:rRNA from 1 species